rnacentral:rRNA from 1 species
CCUACGGGAGGCAGCAGUGAGGAAUAUUGGACAAUGGGCGCAAGCCUGAUCCAGCCAUGCCGCGUGCAGGAUGACGGUCCUAUGGAUUGUAAACUGCUUUUAUACGAGAAGAAACACUCCGACGUGUCGGAGCUUGACGGUAUCGUAAGAAUAAGGAUCGGCUAACUCCGUGCCAGCAGCCGCGGUAAUACGGAGGAUCCAAGCGUUAUCCGGAAUCAUUGGGUUUAAAGGGUCCGUAGGCGGUUUAAUAAGUCAGUGGUGAAAGCCCAUCGCUCAACGGUGGAACGGCCAUUGAUACUGUUAAACUUGAAUUAUUAGGAAGUAACUAGAAUAUGUAGUGUAGCGGUGAAAUGCUUAGAGAUUACAUGGAAUACCAAUUGCGAAGGCAGGUUACUACUAAUUGAUUGACGCUGAUGGACGAAAGCGUGGGUAGCGAACAGGAUUAGAUACCCUGGUAGUCCACGCCGUAAACGAUGGAUACUAGCUGUUGGGAGCAAUCUCAGUGGCUAAGCGAAAGUGAUAAGUAUCCCACCUGGGGAGUACGUUCGCAAGAAUGAAACUCAAAGUGAAUUGACGG